GCCGGAGUAGCUCAAUUGGCAGAGCACCAGUUUUGUAAACUGGGGGGUGUCGAAAGACCAUUGCGAGUUCAACCCUCGCCUCCGGCU
rfam:Parcubacteria bacterium GW2011_GWA2_47_8 TY09_C0016, whole genome shotgun sequence.